CCUACGGGAGGCAGCAGUAGGGAAUCUUCCACAAUGGGCGAAAGCCUGAUGGAGCAACGCCGCGUGGGUGAAGAAGGUCUUCGGAUCGUAAAACCCUGUUGUUAGAGAAGAAAGUGCGUGAGAGUAACUGUUCACGUUUCGACGGUAUCUAACCAGAAAGCCACGUCUAACUACGUGCCAGCAGCCGUGGUAAUACGCAGGUGGCAAGCGUUAUCCGGAUUUAUUGGGGGUAAAGGGAACGCAUGCGGUCUUUUAAGUCUGAUGUGAAAGCCUUCGGCUUAACCGGAGUAGUGCAUUGGAAACUGGGGGACUGGAGUGCAGAAGAGGAGAGUGGAACUCGAUGUGUAGCGGUGAAAUGCGUAGAUAUAUGGAAGAACACCAGUGGCGAAAGCGGCUCUCUGGUCUGUAACUGACGCUGAGGUUCGAAGGCGUGGGUAGCAAACAGGAUUAGAUACCCCUGUAGUC
rnacentral:rRNA from 1 species